rnacentral:rRNA from 1 species
AUGGUGGACGUUGGAGAUGUUGAUGGGCGGCGGCCUCCUCCUCCGCCGCCGCCACCGUCGCCUUCCUCUGGCAACGAUGAGCAUGUGUCUGGCUCUCGUCAGCAUCGGCCUAGGAGGGGUGCUGCCGCUGGUGAUUUCUCGGCCAGCACGGUUGGUUCGUCCUCGUCGGCGGCGCCACCGCCAGCGGGGCGUCAAGUUCAAACCGCAUUGGAUCCGGUCCGGUCUUCGGUCAGCAAUAGCUGUGUGGGGGACGUCAUCGGGUUGUGUCCGAGCCCUGCUUUGGGACCGGUUGCUGCUGCUGCUGCGUCUCACCAGCCAAUCGGGGUGCGGCCCGGGUCGCCUGUGGCUUCCAUUGGUCAGGAUGCACCUGUGGGGUCAUGUGCGGCCGCGGAGCGAAUGGAAAUUCAGGCUGUCUCCCCUGCCUCGGUCUAG